UAGCUCAGUCGGUAGAGCAGUUGACUUUUAAUCAAUUGGUCACAAGUUCGAAUCUUGU
rnacentral:tRNA from 1 species